GCCCCAGUGGUGGAAUGGUAGACGCGCUGGAUUCAAAAUCCUGUUCUGAAAGGAGUGCCCGUUCGAGUCGGGCCUGGGGCACCA
rnacentral:tRNA from 1 species